rnacentral:lncRNA from 1 species
GGAAGGCGUGGGCUAUAGCACACGAAAAUAUGGGAAUCGGGCGGAGUUCUAGUUUUUUGGCCGAAAAACGCAAAAAAUGAGGAACGAUCAUGGCGGGGCAGUGACUAUGGUUCCUUAGGUCGUAUUUGAUUGCCCGGAAAAAUUUUAGGCAAUCGGGGUCCGGGAGUCCUGGGACCACUCGGAAGGCGUGGGCUAUAGCACACGAAAAUAUGGGAAUCGCGCGGAAUUCUAGUUUUUUGGCCGAAAAACGCAAAACAUGAGGAACGAUCAUGGCGGGGCAAUGACUAUGGUUCCUUAGGUCGUAUUUGAUGGCCUAGAAAAAUUUUAGGCGAUCGGGGUCCGGGAUUCCCGGGACCACUUGGAAGGCAUGGGUAUAGCACACGAAAAUAUGGAAAUCUGGC